CCUGAAGGACAGAGCCCAGGACAACGUUAACGAAACGUUUAAGACACGAGAAAGACAGAAAAAAAAACAACCAGAACCAGAAAAAAAGAAGAAAAGAUGAGUGGAAACUAGAAGAAGAAUCUGAAAAAGGAAAAGAAGGAAAAGAAGGAUGAGUGAGAAGAACAAAUGGAACUGAAAGAAGAAAAGAAACUCACAGACAGAAAAUGAAGAACAGACGACUGGAGACGAACAGGUGCAACAAACGAAACCGGAACCAGAACCGGAACCAGAACCAGAACCAGAAAGCACUUUCACACAUGAACCAGAGGACCAGGUCUGGAUCUGGUUUGGGGGAUAAAGUCUGGAUCUGGUCUGGGGGAUAAGGUCUGGAUGUGGUCUGGAUGUGGACCAGACAUGAGGAGGCGGAGUCUCAUAAACCUGGACCAGGAAGUGGAUCCAACAUGGAUCAGUUCCACAGACGGACCAGCAGGGGGCAGUGUUUACACAUGUACCAUCAUCCACUGGGGUUUAAGGCUCAUUUAGUCCUUAUGGUUCUUCAGUUCUAAACUUUGGAACUUAGUAAAAAGGAGAAAAUUAACACUAAUUAUGUGGAAGGAACAGGUUAAAGUAAUGAAAACAGGAUGGUUUAUUUGAAUAAAUAAUUUAUUAAAACUGAACCACUUUGAAAAUGUGUAAAUAAACAGACCCAGUAGUGAUUAUUAUUUACUGGGUUCAGAUGGAAGUUUAGUUUCUUUCAUACAUUUUACUGAUCGUUCAUUUUAAUCUCUCAGAUCGUUUUAGUUUAUCAAAGAUUCAGCUUCAAAACAGAUGUAAAUAUUUGACAGUAAUCUGGAAGAGAACUUUCACGUCUGUGUUUAGAUGAACAGGUCCUCAUGGUGUUCAUGCGUUCAUUCAUUUUUCUACACGUCUGUAGUUCAGUUCAUGUGUGAAAGACGCUCCUGUUGCUGCGUUAGGUUCUGAAUCACUUGAUAAACGGUUUAUUUCAGGAAAACAAACGUCCACAGAUCGGAUCCACGUCUCCUCAGAGCGAUAACGAACCGCGAAGAGUGAAGAACAAAAAUAAAAGUGUCAGAAAGAAAACUGUCAAAGAAGAAUUCAAAGUGUUAAAAUGACAACAGUCAAAUGGAGAGGAAGGUGAGAUGAAGAGGAGGUGAAGAGGAGACGAGGAGGAGGAGAUGAAGAGGAGGUGAA